rnacentral:rRNA from 1 species
CAAGGCAUCUGUGAAGGUGCUGCAUGGUUGUCGUCAGCUCGUGCCGUGAGGUGUCGGCUUAAGUGCCAUAACGAGCGCAACCCUUGUUGUCAGUUACUAACAGGUUCCGCUGAGGACUCUGACAAGACUGCCAUCGUAAGAUGUGAGGAAGGUGGGGAUGACGUCAAAUCAGCACGGCCCUUACGUCCGGGGCUACACACGUGUUACAAUGGGGGGUACAGAGGGCCGCUACCACGCGAGUGGAUGCCAAUCCCAAAAACCUCUCUCAGUUCGGACUGGAGUCUGCAACCCGACUCCACGAAGCUGGAUUCGCUAGUAAUCGCGCAUCAGCCACGGCGCGGUGAAUACGUUCCCGGGCCUUGUACACACCGCCCGUCAAGCCAUGGGAGCCGGGGGUACCUGAAGUGCGUAACCGCGAGGAGCGCCCUAGGGUAAAACUGGUGACUGGGGCUAAGUCGUAACAAGGUAGCCGUACCGGAAGGUGCGGCUGGAUCACCUC